AACAUACCCCAUCUGUCCGGAAUUACUUGUCACACGAAUGGAUAAAAUUGGAUGUAUCUAAAACUAAAAUAUGUCUAGAUACAUCUAUUUCUCCGAUAAGUAUUUCCGGACGAACAGAGUAUCAU
rfam:Triticum aestivum genome assembly, contig: Triticum_aestivum_CS42_TGACv1_scaffold_345963_4DL